AUGGCAUCAGAGUUCUCAAGGGGUCUGAAAAUUACAACCUGACCCGGCCGCCGGUUUCUAAGCCCAGCAGGACACAGUCCGCUCCCCCCACCCCGUUAACUCGGUCCGAGCCAGCGGGUCCGGUUGGGUUUGUCGACUCGGCCAGACCCGUAAUAACUCUACAUGUAAUAGAGCUACCGUUACCUCCAUCACCUCACAGUCCCUGUAGUAUCCUAACGUUACUACCAGCCUACCGGUUGUACUACACUUCCCCUGUCAGUCAGCCUGCAUCUCUGGCUGCUCAUCUCCUGCCUGCUGCCGGGCAUUGCCCCCGGUAUGCCAGAUGGCCAGUCCAUGCCUGCCUGCACGGACCAUAGCUGCUCAUCAAUAAGCUUAUCUUGGAUUAUGUGUCUGUCUGCUGUUUGCUGCUGACCAGGCCAGUGUACAGGAAUACACAGCUCUGGGAAGUGAACGGGAGCUGCCGACUUAGCUGAUCGUUCUCUGUAAGUUCAUCACUACGAGAAACUCAUUUUAAGUUGUUUUCACAUUUCUGGAAUCAAGUAUUAAUUAUAGCUGUUUAAAACAACAAUACAAUGUUUGCAGAUGAAUCUAACACAAAUAAACAUGCAACGUCCAUUGACACAAGGUGUGAAGGUUUUCUGCUCAGUGGAUCAAGACAGCAGUCGCUUAAUCUCUCCUAAGUAUGGAUCAUAUGAAGGACAUUUCAGAGUAAAUUACAUUUUAAAACCCUGAAUUCUUUAUUUAAAAUAUGCAUACAUAAUACUUCUCCUACAGAACAAUACGGAACAAUACAAUCACUUUUUGUAAUAACACAUUUAAAAUGUAGAAUGGUUUGUGGCAGAAACCGCCUGCAAGCAAACAAGUUCCUACUUUGGCUUCUUACAGCGAGAAUCGAAAAAAAAGAAAAAAAAAGAAAAAAAAAAAGAGAGAAGCCUAAAAUACUCUGAAUGGCCCAACUAAAGAAAAUCACAGAAGCAGAAACUAACACACCACAUCUGUGAUUGAAUUGAGUGUGUGUGUGUGUGUGUGUGUGUGUGUGUGUGUGAGACAUCUAUCGUAAUGUACCACUACGUGUGUUCUGUGAUGGCAGAGUUGAAGCUGGUGAUGGCUGUGAUGGUAUCUGAGCAGGUACACAGGGUUCCCACUGUCCUGGCAGUCCUGCAGGAAGCCUCCAGGACCAGAGAGGUUGGAAAAAACAUGUUCACUCUGAUAAACGCGUAGAAGCAGUUUGGAAGAAUGUCACAAAAAGAAGCAGGCUGAGGUGUAACUUUGGCUGCACUGUGGUUUGUGACUCUCAAGACUCCUUUUUGUGUUAGCAGUUGUAAAUGUAAACGUGCUGCUGAAAAACAGUAGUGCAGCCAGGACCAUCUGGUAUGAAUUUGUAAAGAGAAGCUGAAAGAUUUUUGAACUUGUCAGAUAAAAAACAGGCGUGGGAACCCCAUGAAACACACAUCAUCCUGUCUGCCAUUACUACACAGCCUCAUAAUACAUGCCAAAACAUACAAAUAUACAGCACGUUACAUAGAACAUUAUAUCAGGCAAGACUGUUGUUUUGACUCUCUGAAAGGAAACACUUUGUAGAAGUUCAUAAUAACUUUAUGUUACACUUGUGUACAAAUGUGUUACUCACCGAUUAUUAAAGAUACACUCCAUCAUUGUGUGUCCUGUGUGAUAAGGCUGGCGAUUUCCUUUUUUUUAAAAUCAUGAACAAUUCUCACAGACCAACUAAAUACAAUGAAGGUAUUUCACUAACAAGUACUGUGUGUAUCAAAGCCUGAUAUAUCUUCUUCCUCUGUGCCAUACAGCUCCAUUGAUGUCCAAAAACACACCAGUGAGCCACAAUGUUGUUCCUGCAUGAACAUGACCACGCACACUGUAGUUUAUUUGGACUCAGUGCAGUGUACACCACCCUGCUGCCCUGUAUACUCACUGCGAAUUGAUCUGCUGCUGAAACAAGUUGCAACAAAUGCACUCUUUCCUCCUGCUGGAGGGAUGUUUAUCUAGAACUACAGAGAGGGGCUGGAAAUUAAUGUUCCUCUUUAAACAAACUAUACAGUGUAUCUUUGAGCCAGGGUAGGGAGAUCACUGUUCGGCAAUAUGAAACAAAGACAAUGUAACACCAGCCUAAUCUUUUCAAACAGUUCACAGUUGAGCUGGGAGUCUCUCUUUAAAUAUUACAGCUCCACUUGUAGUUAAAAAAAUAACGAACAUGGAGAUAAAUCGAAGUAAAACUUGUAACAACUAAACCAAAAAAACCCAAACAUAUGAAGACUGCUGUUUAUGUGCAGACAAAGAUGGCAACAGGCUGCAGUGGAAACAGAGUGAAAGCAGAGCAAAGAAAGAGGAACUUCACACUGAUGGCAUGAAGGAAAUUACACCUACAUAUCUACAUCAGAUAAUCCAUAUGCAGAGGUAAAGGUGGCAGAUCAUGUUUUGAUCUCAAUAGGUUUCCACACAUCAGCUGCUUAAGACAGCCAACAACUCAGUGUACUCAAAUAGAAACAGCAGGACAUACAGCAAGUGUAAAACACACCACUUAAUCCAUCAUAUACAUUGUCCUGUGCAAUCCUAGGUGACAUGCUUAUCAAACACUAUACUUUCUCUGGCUAUAAGCAGGAAAGCUGGAGGAAAAAAAUAUUCUGUAUAAAAAAAAAAA